rnacentral:rRNA from 1 species
UGCCAGCCGCCGCGGUAAUACGGAGGGUGCAAGCGUUAAUCGGAAUUACUGGGCGUAAAGCGCUCGUAGGCGGUUUGUUAAGUCGGAUGUGAAAGCCCCGGGCUCAACCUGGGAACUGCAUUCGAUACUGGCAGACUAGAGUAUAGUAGAGGCAAGUGGAAUUCCGGGUGUAGCGGUGAAAUGCGUAGAUAUCCGGAGGAACAUCAGUGGCGAAGGCGACCUUCUGGACUGAUACUGACACUGAGGUGCGAAAGUGUGGGGAGCAAACAGGAUUAGAUA